rfam:Cylindrobasidium torrendii FP15055 ss-10 unplaced genomic scaffold CYLTOscaffold_53, whole genome shotgun sequence.
GCCUGCCUAGCUCAAUCGGAUAGAGCGUCAGACUUUUAAGGCGGUGAAAUCCACUUAGAAAUACUAUCUGAAGGCUGCGGGUUCGACCCCCGUGGUGGGCU